GGGUUGCGGGUAUGCGGGCAGUAGUUAUUUGGGGAACUGUGAAGGUUAGAAGAAGGAUAAGGGAGGAAUUACCCAAUAGCGAAUAGGGUAAAUCGAAGGAGAAGCAGAGUUGGUGGGAAGGGGAAGAUGAUACACAGGAAAUGGAGUUUGCUAACAGGCCCAGUUGCCAUUCUGGGUUCAAUCGUCGGCGCUGUUGUCGUCGCCAACUACCUCUUCAUCGAAAAUGAUUGGUUCCUUAAGCCAGAUCCAAGGAAACAAGAAACUCUGCCUGCAUCCAAGUGAAGAGGAAAUAAGAGGGGAAAAAAAUCCUUCUUCAAUGUGAUUUAACCUGGCUUUCAGUGUCUAUUUCUGGGCAUGUUAUCAGAACUGAUGUUUUUGAGUUUAUGUUGGAAUAAAUAUUUGUUUGGAUAAGUUGAUUUUUGCCAGUUACAUGUAGAAUUUUCUUUCAGUUUGGAUGGAUAACCUGCAGUUGUUCAGUUCUUAUUGAUGUAAACAUCUUUUGGGCUGCCUUCUCAAUCUUUUGGUAAGAUUUGGACAGAUUCGGUACAAAUAUGGAGAAUGUGACUUGUCAAAAAGGAAUACAGUGUGCUAGAUCCCGUUAUAUCGUUGUUAUUUCUCAAAAAGAAUGAGGAAUUAUCCUGUUAUAAGACUAUACCAUAAAACUCUCCA